rnacentral:tRNA from 1 species
AGGGCUUUAGCUUAAUUAAAGCAUUUGUUUUGCAUGCAGAAGAUGUAAGUUAGUAUCUUGCAAGUCUUA